UACGUAGGGUCCGAGCGUUGUCCGGAAUUAUUGGGCGUAAAGAGCUCGUAGGCGGUCUGUUGCGUCGGCUGUGAAAACCCGGGGCUCAACCCCGGGCCUGCAGCCGAUACGGGCAGACUAGAGUUCGGCAGGGGAGACUGGAAUUCCUGGUGUAGCGGUGAAAUGCGCAGAUAUCAGGAGGAACACCGGUGGCGAAGGCGGGUCUCUGGGCCGAUACUGACGUGGAGGAGCGAAAGCGUGGGGAGCGAACAGG
rnacentral:rRNA from 1 species